CCCGUUGUACACACCGCCCGUCACGCCAUGGAAGCCUGGGGGGACCUGAAGCCGGUGGGCUAACCGCAAGGGGGCAGCCGUCAAAGGUCAAUUCAGUGACUGGGGCG
rnacentral:rRNA from 1 species